CUAAAACGGAUUGCUGGGGAUACGUUUGUUUCAGUUUCAUUUACAUUAUAGACCACCCAUAUGAAUCUUGCAGCUGCUGAAUUUGCUCUAACCUUUAAAUGCAUCAAAAUUAUGGCACCGGCGUGCUGUAGAGCGUCAGGUAACUGUCGUGCUUCUUAUUGUGCUAUCUUUUUCAUUCUUUUACCAAAUUUGACAGCUCUAUUCGCGACUACGAAGUUGAGUUUGACAGCUUAUGUGUGUGAAGUGGAAGUAAGCAAAAGCAAAAAGUAAUAAAUUUUCAAACAUGCCGUUUUCUUAGAUUUUAGUUUUGCUGUUUGAAAUGGUAAAUACCAGUGUUUCUUGAAAUCUUUCAAGAUGCUAAUUCAGUUAAUGAAUAUAAAAUAAUCGCUUUGAGCGGUGUCUAUUUUAUCGUGUAAAAUACAAGUGAUCGGAGCCUUCAAAAGGUGAUACGUGCACUGUGUUGAUGAACUUUUCGGAUGUUUUUCAACUACGCUGCCGGAGGAAGUUGCUCGAAUAGUUGGAUAAUCCUCUUCAACUAUUGAGCCACACGCAGUAAAUGUUUGAACUGGAAGUGUCCUUUCUGUAUGGUUAUUUUCAUGUACUUGCAAAGCCAGUAAAUAAAAAUGAAAU